rnacentral:lncRNA from 1 species
GGGGGAGGGGAGGGAUAGCACCGCGGAUUCCGUGGGUUCCAGGCUUGCACUCCAAUCAUCUCAUUAUAGAGAGAAUCGUUGAGGCAAAGUAAUGGGCUAUCUUUGCUUUGCUUUGCUUGCUCACCUCAUCCCCCUACCCAUUCCAUCCCACCUCUCUAUGCAUAUACCACACAUUUGUAUCUUUGCACCAUCUUUUCUUGUAAAAGACGUGUGUGAGACUCAUUCUUCUCCUCCUUCCUCCACGCGCC